GUGCUUUUCCUACCCCAGCCACUUUUAAGCUGUCCUCUACUAGGUAUUAGAAAGAACAAAUGAAUUCUGUUUGUCAGGAAAGAAAGAGCUGAGUGACAAUUGCAGCCUUUGCUUCUAAUUUGAUUAGUUGCAGCACCCAAAUCUCGGCCCAUUUCUUAAAUAUGCUUAUGCCAUCUAUUCCCACCAAUUAGGUAUGUCUUGAAGAUCUGGCUCAAUGUGUGCAAGCAUAAGGACUUUCAUGUGACAAGAUUCUAGCAAUAAGUAAGCAUUUUUCCUCUUUUUUGUAGAUGGAACGCUCCUGAACACUUUUAAAACGAAAGGCUACUGCUUGCAAUACCUUCUCUCUAAAUAUGACAGUGUGAUGAUAGAUGAUUUCGCCGCUUCUUUUGUGAAGCAGUCAGAUGCACACUCUCCGUCAUAGCGAAACAAAAGUCUAUCAUUGGAUUCGUGCGACAAGCUAUGCGACAAGCUCUGACUAAAUGCCUGCUAUAUUUGAAAGAAAGUCUGGAAAGGUACUCCUCCGCACCAAAAGGAGCCUACUUCAUUUGGAUAUUAUUACCCUGCUUAUAGAAAUAAAACAAGAGAUUGUCGAUCAAUAAAAAUAAAUUAGUGAAUAAAUCAUUGAAAUGAAACGAAUCCACUUCUAAAAGUCCCUUUUUUUGAGCCGUAAAAAAUUGUUUUUUACUCAUCAGCCAGCAAGACUGCAUUUUGUAUCCAUCUCCAUCCCUUAAAACUGGAAGUAGGUAUCCUUUCCUUCUAAGGUAUAGAAUUAUAUCAGUAAUAGUAGUGCUAAGUUUUAUUUAAUAAUAUAAAUAAAAUUAUUUUCUUCUACUUUAAUUGAGUUGUAUGUACCUAUAAUCGUUCCAAAGUUUUUCUUCUUUUUUUUACGUGAUUUGGUCUUCCUAAUUCACUCUUCACUCGAGCUGAUUUUACAAUGCAAGCAUAGAUGUCAGAGAAAAGAGGCUCCGAGUUUGGUGAAUGUAAUACUAGCUAUUUGUAAGUCCUUAGACUCAAAAAUAAAAGAAUGAUCGUUUCUCAAUUUGAGUGAGUUUGUUUUUUCCCUCCCUCCCUUAAAAUAGCCUAUGCCAUGGUAAUGGCAACCCAUCUCUUAUGGACUUUGACACUUUAGCUCAGUGACUUAGAGGGCAAGUGGAAUAAGAGUAGUUUUUUAUUUCAAGAAAUGUAUGUUUAAAGUUUC
rnacentral:lncRNA from 1 species